rnacentral:miRNA from 1 species
CCUGCCUUGCAUCAACUGAAU